UACGGGGGGGGCAAGCGUUGUUCGGAAUUACUGGGCGUAAAGGGCGCGUAGGCGCCAUCUAAGUCAGACGUGAAAUCCCUCGGCUCAACCGAGGAACUGCGUCUGAUACUGGCAGGCUUGAAUUCGGGAGAGGGAUGUGGAAUUCCAGGUGUGAGCGGUGAAAUGCGUAGAUAUCUGGAGGAACACCGGUGGCGAAGGCGGCAUCCUGGACCGAUAUUGACGCUGAUGCGCGAAAGCCAGGGGAGCAAAGCGGG
rnacentral:rRNA from 1 species